GACGAACGCUGGCGGCGCGCCUAACACAUGCAAGUCGAACGAGCAAAGAGGAGCUUGCUUCUCUGAGCGAGUGGCGAACGGGUGAGUAACGCGUGAGGAACCUGCCUCAAAGAGGGGGACAACAGUUGGAAACGACUGCUAAUACCGCAUAAGCCCACGGGUCGGCAUCGACCAGAGGGAAAAGGAGCAAUCCGCUUUGAGAUGGCCUCGCGUCCGAUUAGCUAGUUGGUGAGGUAAUGGCCCACCAAGGCGACGAUCGGUAGCCGGACUGAGAGGUUGAACGGCCACAUUGGGACUGAGACACGGCCCAGACUCCUACGGGAGGCAGCAGUGGGGAAUAUUGCACAAUGGGGGAAACCCUGAUGCAGCGACGCCGCGUGGAGGAAGAAGGUCUUCGGAUUGUAAACUCCUGUUGUUGAGGAAGAUAAUGACGGUACUCAACAAGGAAGUGAACGGCUAACUACGUG
rnacentral:rRNA from 1 species